GGUCAGUCUGCUAUAGAUUGGAGCUGCAGAUAGGUACAGAAAGCUUGGCAGCUCUCUCCGCACUGGUUUCCACUUUGGUAGCGGACUGGGACACGGGGGAUGCUGACCUCACUAUACCUGCCCCACUGCCCCAGCCACGUGUUGUAUGCCGUGCCUGAGAAUUGUGUAUUCACCAGGACAGGAAGCUCCAGGUGAACUGCUUUCUGCGUCAUGUCAUUUAGCAGAAGAGGUUUGUGGUCCCGAUACGUCAACACACCCACCCCAGGACAUCCUACCGAGACUGCACUGGCAGAUCUGGGGCCUGCCACUGCCACCUUCCGACAAGAGAAGAAACUGCAAACGCCUGGUCCCAGCCCAUUUGUCGAGGAAGGAAGGAAGGAUUAUUUUGGUAGUUUUA